CUAUUUAUGUUCAUAAAUAAUUUUAUGCCCAUUUCUUGUGUAUUGAAAGUGGGACAAGCGAGAUAACUCUAAUACUUUUGUUCGGUCUUGUUUUUGGAACAGCCUCAGUAUAUGAUUGAGUACAAUCAGUGGCAGCGCCAUAUUUGUAUGGAAAUACAAUUUUAUUUUUGAACAAGCAAGUUGGCUUACAGCGUGUCCAGUGCACAGUUAAUACAUUUGAUGGACUUCUCGUGGUGUGAUCUUUUGGAUUUCCAAGGAAUUCAGCACAUUUAGAGCCAGUCCAAGAGUGGGAAAUACAGAAAGGGACCCUUGUGAUCAAGCAUUUAUUUUUACUUAGAACAAGAUGAGUACCGGUAAUAGGCCUACAGACUAUGGGGUGGUUACAAAACCAGUUAAUUUACAACAAGAGGAAGUCGCAAGUGACACUCCAACAAGCAACAAUCAUUCAAGCCAAUU